rnacentral:lncRNA from 1 species
ACACGGCAAAACAAGCAACAUAAACGUGCUCCUCGCCCUCCUCACCCUCCUCUCCCUCCUCUAAGUGUUCUGCACUAGAACCUCUUUCUGACAGCUCCGUGCUGCUAUAACCGUGCAACUUCGCUAGCACCAAAGCCAUCGCCUUAGUUCACUCAGGGGCUUCACAUGUUCUCAUCUCUCGCUACACUCAUGCAAAAACUGUUUUUACAGCCCCACGCAAUCAAACGUAGCGCAGGUCAUGCCUAAGCUAGUCGAAGGCAUCGAUCUCAUUCUUGGCAGCCGCUGGAUGCGUGAACACGGUGCAGUACUGGACUUUGGCCAGGACACCUGCAUAGUGACACGCCAUGGCCGCUCACAUCGGCUGCAGAGCCUAAACGAGCCGCUGUCCAAGGGUGCUGCGGUUAUGAAUGAUGUAAUUGUGGUUUUACACGCGGCAAUGUCACCUAUCGCCAACCUGGUGUCUAUGAAGCAGAUCAAAAAACAAGGCGUGUCUUGUUAUGCUGCCUUCACGACAAGCGACGACAUCGCCCAAUUAAACGCCAUGGACGCCACCUCGGCAGCCCCGUCCGACCCUACCCUGGUGUCGCCAGCUAAACUGGAGGCCUUGCUGGAUGAAUAUAAGGAGGAAUUUGAGCCCUUAACGGGCCUGGGCCCUGACCUCGCCACUGGCCACACCAUCGAGCUGGAACCUGGCAUAAAGCCGCCAUACUCCCGGCCAUACCGGCUUUCACGGCUGGACAAACGAAGUUGAAAAAGCAGCUCUCUGACUUGCUGGCCAAAGGUUUUAUUUAAGAAUCGAAGUCACCAUUCGGUGCGCACGUCCUCUUCUCACAAAAGAAGGACGGCUCGCUUCUCAUGUGCCUUGACUUUAGCACUCUUAACAAAAUCACCAUAAAAACCGGUAUCCACUUCCGAACAUCACCAANCUCCUCAACAAACUCCAGGGCGCGAGUAUCUCCUCAUCCCUCGUCCUACAAAGCGGCUACCAUCAAGUCCGCAUCACGGAGGAGGACAUCCCAAAAACCAGCCUCAUGACACCCUUGGGAACGUCCCAGUACAAAGUGCUGUGCUUCGGGUUGACUAAUGCACCGGCGACCUUUCAAAAGGUCAUAAACACCGUGCUCAUCGACGCUUACUGCGUUGUCAACCUAGAUGAUAUCCUCAUCUUCAGCAAAGAUCCGACCAGCCACCUCGAGCACAUGCGUGCCGUACUCGAAUCCCUCAAAGGGGCGUGUUAACGUGCAACGCGCGAAAAGUGCGAGCUGAACAAGCCCGAAGUCAACUUCCUAGGCCACUUCGUAGGCCAGUAUAGACUGAGGUGGAUCCCUGAAAAAUUGAGGCCGUUAAGAACGACCCCGUCCCAAAAGACAGGACGGCGCUGUGCGGCUUCCUGGGCCUUGCGAGCUACUUCCGCAAGUUCACCCAAGGGUACUCAUCGCUAGCGACUCCACUCACGGCCCUCACCGGCAGCAAACGGCUGACCGAAGGAAGAACUUGCACCAGCAGGCUUUCGACGGCAUUAAAUACGCCCUCGUCAACGCCCGUUGUUGCACCUUCCUGACUUUACCAAACCCUCCAAAGUCGUAACUGACGCCAGCAUCUACGGCACAGGCGGUGCACUGCUACAGGAUGGCCACCCCGUCGCCCACACCAGCCAAAAGUUCACACCUGCCGAAGUCAAUUACAGUACCACAGAGCAAGAGCUUCUGUGUACUCAAUGCCCUACAAGAGUGGCGGCCGUACCUUGAGACCGCACAGGAUACCUUCAUGCUGGUCACCGACCACCGACUUUUCACCUUGCCGUACGAUAGUACGGGUCGUACAUCGGAUGGCUACGCUGGUGUAUCGCAUCCGGUGUUUUCGACACCACCUUGACUGGAUUUGAUCAAAAGGAUAAACGUUGCGCUAGGUUACCAAAAGUUGUUUUAGGUUCUGAAUAUGCGGGGCCUGCACAAGUGUGGACCAGAGGUCGGCAAACCCUGAAUAACUGUCACGGGUACUGGUGCCAGGGUCGAAUAACUGUAUGGAAUUUUUUUUUGGUAAAAGCCGAGGAAAGAGCGUCUGCGGGCCGAUGUACCAAACUUACUACGUUACACCAUCGCUGUUAAAGCCACAAUUGUCUUGUUGCGCCCAAUUACUGCGCAAACCUACCUUUUGGGGGGAAUUUCUGCACCCUGCCGUACGGCUGCCGUACCAGCGAUGAUGAUUUUCUGCAACGGGUACAACGGAAGGACCCGCUGUACCAGCGGCGUUUGCCGACCCCUGGUGUGGACUGUACACUUAUGGCUGCUUGCAAAACAAAUUGCGGGUGCGAGGCGAAGUGCACUCUUGCGUACGGCUUGCACCUUGCAAAGUCGCAGGUCGCGAGAAAUCGCCCAUCUUUACAUGCGAGCGCAUACGUGAUUUCGUUUUCCGCACUUGUCAUAUCCGACACGUAAGUGUAAAUGCAUUGGAGUGGCAUGCGGCAUAUAUGGCUUCGUCUGCGUCAGGAACGCCUGGN